rnacentral:rRNA from 1 species
ACGUAGGUGGCAAGCGUUGUCCGGAAUUACUGGGUGUAAAGGGAGCGCAGGCGGACUGGCAAGUUGGAAGUGAAAUCUAUGGGCUCAACCCAUAAAUUGCUUUCAAAACUGCCGGUCUUGAGUAGUGCAGAGGUAGGCGGAAUUCCCGGUGUAGCGGUGGAAUGCGUAGAUAUCGGGAGGAACACCAGUGGCGAAGGCGGCCUACUGGGCACCAACUGACGCUGAGGCUCGAAAGUAUGGGUAGCAAACAG